UACGUAGGGUGCGAGCGUUAAUCGGAAUUACUGGGCGUAAAGCGUGCGCAGGCGGUUUUGUAAGCCAGAUGUGAAAUCCCCGGGCUUAACCUGGGAAUGGCAUUUGGGACUGCAAGGCUUGAGUGCGGCAGAGGAGACUGGAAUCCUGGUGUAGCAGUGAAAUGCGUAGAUAUCAGGAGGAAUACCGAUGGCGAAGGCAGGUCUCUGGGCUGACACUGACGCUCAUGCACGAAAGCGUGGGAGCAAAGAGGAUUAAAACCCUUG
rnacentral:rRNA from 1 species